AUUGAACGCUGGCGGCAUGCCUUACACAUGCAAGUCGAACGGUAACGCGGGGCAACCUGGCGACGAGUGGCGAACGGGUGAGUAACGCAUCGGAACGUGCCCUUAGUGGGGAAUACCUCCACGAAAUCGGGAUUAAUACCGCAUACGACCUACGGGUGAAAGCGGGGGAUCGCAAGAACUCGCGCUGAUGGAGCGGCCGAUGUCAGAUUAGGUUGUUGGUGAGGUAAAGGCUCACCAAGCCGACGAUCUGUAGCUGGUCUGAGAGGACGACCAGCCACACUGGGACUGAGACACGGCCCAGACUCCUACGGGAGGCAGCAGUGGGGAAUUUUGGACAAUGGGGGCAACCCUGAUCCAGCCAUGCCGCGUGCGGGAAGAAGGCCUUCGGGUUGUAAACCGCUUUUGUCGGGGAAGAAACGCUCUGGGCUAAUAUCCUGGGGUAAUGACGGUACCCGAAGAAUAAGCACCGGCUAACUACGUGCCAGCCGCCGCCGUAA
rnacentral:rRNA from 1 species